rnacentral:lncRNA from 1 species
AUGCUAUGUAUUUAUUACUUUUGUAAUGUACUCUUUUUUUUGUUUGUUUCAUUUAUAGCAGACAAUUGUUCAGAAUGCAUGGAACGGCUGGAGAACAACAGCUUUCCAUACCAGACGAUAUUGAAAAACAGAAUGAAAGGAGAAAAUUAUCAUUCAAUGAAACUUGUACUUAAAACAUAUAAAAAAAGGCUCUAAGUAUUCGGGAUUGCUUAAAAAGGCACAAGUAGGAUAAAUCUACCUUGGCCCUGACCAGUAUA